UUCAAUAUGAUGUUAAUUAUUACCGCCCCAGUCUGAAUUUUCAUGACUGAUUGGUUUAUUGUACUGAU